GUGGGGAAUAUUGGACAAUGGGCGCAAGCCUGAUCCAGCAAUGCCGCGUGUGUGAAGAAGGUCUUCGGAUUGUAAAGCACUUUCGACGGGGACGAUGAUGACGGUACCCGUAGAAGAAGCCCCGGCUAACUUCGUGCCAGCAGCCGCGGUAAUACGAAGGGGGCUAGCGUUGUUCGGAAUGACUGGGCGUAAAGGGCGCGUAGGCGGCUUGUUUCGUCGGGUGUGAAAUUCCUGGGCUCAACCUGGGGGCUGCAUCCGAUACGGACAGGCUUGAGUUCGGAAGAGGGUCGUGGAAUUCCCAGUGUAGAGGUGAAAUUCGUAGAUAUUGGGAAGAACACCGGUGGCGAAGGCGGCGACCUGGUCCGAGACUGACGCUGAGGCGCGAAAGCGUGGGGAGCAAACAGG
rnacentral:rRNA from 1 species